rnacentral:rRNA from 1 species
GACAGAGGGUGCAAACGUUGUUCGGAUUUACUGGGCGUAAAGCGCGUGUAGGCGGCUUGGCAAGUCGGAUGUGAAAGCCCACGGCUCAACCGUGGAAGCGCAUCCGAAACGGCCUCGCUCGAGUCUCGGAGAGGAAGGUGGAAUGCUUGGUGUAGAGGUGAAAUUCGUAGAUAUCAAGCAGAACACCUGCGGCGAAGGCGGCCUUCUGGACGAUGACUGACGCUGAGACGCGAAAGCGUGGGGGGCAAACAGG